rnacentral:rRNA from 1 species
AUUGAACGCUGGCGGCAUGCUUUACACAUGCAAGUCGAACGGUAACAGGCCUUCGGGUGCUGACGAGUGGCGCACGGGUGAGUAAUGCAUCGGAACGUACCCAGAGGUGGGGGAUAACGCAGCGAAAGCUGUGCUAAUACCGCAUGUGAUCUGAGGAUGAAAGCGGGGGACCGAGCAGCAAUGUUUGGCCUCGCGCCUUUGGAGCGGCCGAUGUCGGAUUAGCUAGUUGGUGGGGUAAAGGCCUACCAAGGCGACGAUCCGUAGCUGGUCUGAGAGGACGACCAGCCACACUGGGACUGAGACACGGCCCAGACUCCUACGGGAGGCAGCAGUGGGGAAUUUUGGACAAUGGGCGCAAGCCUGAUCCAGCAAUGCCGCGUGCGGGAAGAAGGCCUGCGGGUUGUAAACCGCUUUUGGCAGGAACGAAACGGUGUCCGCUAAUACCGGGCGCUAAUGACGGUACCUGCAGAAUAAGCACCGGCUAACUAC